CCUACGGGUGGCAGCAGUGAGGAAUAUUGGUCAAUGGGCGCGAGCCUGAACCAGCCAAGUCGCGUGAGGGAAGACGGCCCUACGGGUUGUAAACCUCUUUUGCCGGGGAGCAACGGGCGCCACGUGUGGCGCCACUGAGAGUACCCGGAGAAAAAGCAUCGGCUAACUCCGUGCCACCAGCCGCGGUAAGACGGGGGAUGCGAGCGUUAUCGGGUUUUAUUGGGUUUAAAGGGUGCGUGGGCGGAUGGUUAAGUCAGUGGUAAAAUUGAGGGGCUCAACCCCUUACCGCCAUUGAAACUGGCGCUCUUGAGUGGAAGAGAGGUAUGCGGAAUGCGUGGUGUAGCGGUGAAAUGCAUAGAUAUCACGCAGAACCCCGAUUGCGAAGGCAGCAUGCCGGCUUCCGACUGACGCUGAAGCACGAAAGCGUGGGGAUCGAACAGGAUUAGAUACCCCGGUAGUC
rnacentral:rRNA from 1 species